UUUCUUUACGCCGACCUCAGAGCAGGUGAG
rnacentral:rRNA from 2 species